CCUUACUGGGCUGAGGGGGCGGGGAGCUCCAGGCCUCUGGUGACCUUGCUCCGACGUCUUGGGGCUGCUCCCCACCAAGGAAGGAUCGCGGGCGCCAGGGCUGAGGGCAGGUGGGGGCCACUGCCUCGGAGCCACUAUGGGGCCAGCACAGGGAAGGUCCGGCUUCCAAGGCCACCUUCUCAUCUGUGACCGUGGGCGAGUUCUUUUCCCUCUCUAAGCCUGAGUCCCUCAACUGUCACAUGGGGUCAGUGAUGCUCAUCUUGUGUUUGCGUCAUUCAGUGGCUUGGUAUGCAGGCAAGUUCUGUCCCUGCGUCCGCCCACAGGCCUGAGGGCCUUCUAAUAAGGGAGAGGCGAAUGGCAAGGCAGCUUCUGGAGGCUAGGGAUUAUGAGCACGGGUUUCCAAAUCAGGAAGAUCUGAGUUUGAAUCUUGCCUCUGCAACAUACCAGCUGUGUGUUUUUAGGCAAGUCACAUUCCCUCUCUGAGCCUCAAUAUCCUCUGCUAUAAAACUGGCACAAUAAUAUAGUCUCUACCUCAUAAAAUGUUGGCAGGAGGACUGGGAAUGUGGCUCAGUGGUAGAGUGCUUGCCUGGCACGUGCAAGGCCCUGGGCCCAGUUCCCAGCACCACAAACAGAACAAAACCAGAAAUGUCUGCAAGGGUUCAGAGACAUGGUCCUAUGGCGGGUGGCACAGGGAGCCUGGAAGAGGAGAGCUGCUCAACGAGUGGCGCCCACUCCCCUCCCCAAACUGCAGCCCGUUCUCCCCACUGCCUCGGUGCCUCGGCACAUUUGCAGGUGUUAGAUAAAAGCGUCUGGGCCAGUCAGCACCCUGCACCUGGGGCCUCCUCAACCCCCCUUGAACUUCUCUGGUACAGUCCCCCUCCUUGUCCCUGCCCGGCCCAUGUCUCUGUGUGCUGUUGACCCCGCUCCUGUUGGGACUCAGCUCCUUUGAGCCCCUCCCUACAACCACGCACAAGCACCCUUUUCACAGGGAGGAGAGUCUACACUGUAGGCACACAAGUGAGCUGAACAAGCCCCGUCAGGAUUGUCACUGCUGUGCAGUCUGCCUGCCCUCUGAGUGCAUCCCUGGCUUGCUCCGUCCUACCGUCACUAGUCCAUAGAUUCCCUGGGGGCCAGGGCUAUGGCCUUCAUCCACUGUGUCCCAGCACCCAGCACAGUCAGUACCUGGCCCACAGUCAGUGGGUAGCUCGGAAC
rnacentral:lncRNA from 1 species